AACGAACGCUGGCGGCAGGCCUAACACAUGCAAGUCGAACGAAGUCUUCGGACUUAGUGGCGCACGGGUGAGUAACACGUGGGAAUAUACCUUACGCUGGGGGAUAACAUCGGGAAACUGAUGCUAAUACCGCAUACGCCCUUCGGGGGAAAGAUUUAUCGGCGAAAGAUUAGCCCGCGUCCGAUUAGCUAGUUGGUGAGGUAAUGGCUCACCAAGGCUCGGAUCGGUAGCUGGUCUGAGAGGAUGACCAGCCACACUGGGAAUGAGACACGGCCCAGAACCCGACGGGAGGGGGCAGUAGGGAAUAUUGGACGAUGGGGGCAAGCGUAGUCCAGCCGUGCGGGGGGAGUGAGGAAGGGGUUAGGGUUGUAAAGCUCUUUGAGCCACGACGAUGAUGACGGUAGUGGGAAAAGAAGCCCCGGCUAACUUCGUG
rnacentral:rRNA from 1 species